UUAGCUCGUCUGAGAAGACGCCCUUUUUGCUUCUCGUGUGGACGGGUUACCUGGUCAAAAACAGGCUUUCAUGAUCUCAAGCAUCUUUUUGAGAGGAUUACCAAACAUGAAAGCAGUAGGACAACGCGGUAUAAUUGGAGCAAAUAGCUACUGACAGCAAAUGGAGGAAAACAGAACAAGACUCACCACUGGAGCGCCGGACAAUAUUUUCCAGAAAAGUGUUCUGCGGAGCCACCAGACCUCUCUUGCCCCCAUGCAUUAUGAGGGUUCCGGACAGAGACCCAGAGCUGCUCGGUGGUCGUGCUGAUGUCAAAUACCCCCCUCAGCUUUCUGCCCGACUAGAGCGUGGACCACAUCAGUCAAGUUAACUAGAAGGAUAAGAGGCACUUCCGGACUGAGGUUUAAAAAAAUAAAUGCCUCAUUGCCGAAUGUGGCGUUUUUUUCAGUGUAAUUGGCUACAAAUUGAAGACUAACGUGGAAUCUGAGGUAAAUGGUAAUUAUUAUCCACCAAACUGUCAUUUUCAUAUCACAUUCACAGCCACGGCGGUUAGGGUCGCAGGAUAAACGUAGUCACAAUAGCCUACAUGUAUGCUGUAGCAGAUAACUUAUUUACCCGCUAAAUAAAGAUCAGUCAGGUAGCCUAUAUCUUGUACAAAUAUUACGUAAGAGUCACGUCAGCCUUUAUCAU